GCAUGUGUGUGUGUGUGUUUUAGGAAAAUAAAUGCAAAAUUCAAUUUCAAAGGAAAAAUUUCCUGUAAGACUUUGCCAACUGAAAAUUUUGCUUCAUACAAGAGUAAUUCUAGUAGCAGCAGUAGAGAAGAUCAAGCCUGAUGAAAUGUUUUCUUU
rfam:Pan troglodytes isolate Yerkes chimp pedigree #C0471 (Clint) chromosome 21, whole genome shotgun sequence.